rnacentral:rRNA from 15 species
CUGUUCGCCAAUUAAAGCGGUACGUGAGCUGGGUUUAGAACGAUGAGAAUCAGUUUGGCUUCUAUCUGCUGUAAGGUAUGUAAAUUGAGAAGUUGGUGUCUUAGUACGAGAGGACUGGAAAAUGUGAGCCUAUGGUUUAUCGGUUGUUAAUCUAUUAGCAUUGUCGAGUCGCUAAGCUCAUAAAAGAUAAUUGCUGAAAGCAUAUAAGCAAGAAUCUUUCUUCGAGAAAAAUUUAUAAAAGAUCGUAGUAGUCUAUUACGUUGAUAGGCUUCUUGUGUACGUUUGGUAA